rnacentral:rRNA from 1 species
GACGUAGGGCGCGAGCGUUGUCCGGAUUUAUUGGGCGUAAAGAGCUCGUAGGCGGCUUGUCGCGUCGUUCGUGAAAACCCGGGGCUCAACUCCGGGCUUGCGGGCGAUACGGGCAGGCUAGAGUUCGGUAGGGGAGACUGGAAUUCCUGGUGUAGCGGUGAAAUGCGCAGAUAUCAGGAGGAACACCGAUUGCGAAGGCAGCUCGCUGGGACGGUACUGACGCUGAGGCGCGAAAGCGUGGGGAGCGAACAGG